GACGAACGCUGGCGGCGUGCUUAACACAUGCAAGUCGAACGGUAAGGCCCUUCGGGGUGCACGAGUGGCGAACGGGUGAGUAACACGUGGGUGAUCUACCCUGCACUUCGGGAUAAGCCUGGGAAACUGGGUCUAAUACCGGAUAGGACCACUGACUGCAUGGGUGGUGGUGGAAAGCUUUUGCGGUGUGGGAUGGGCCCGCGGCCUAUCAGCUUGUUGGUGGGGUGAUGGCCUACCAAGGCGACGACGGGUAGCCGGCCUGAGAGGGUGACCGGCCACACUGGGACUGAGAUACGGCCCAGACUCCUACGGGAGGCAGCAGUGGGGAAUAUUGCACAAUGGGCGCAAGCCUGAUGCAGCGACGCCGCGUGAGGGAUGACGGCCUUCGGGUUGUAAACCUCUUUCAGCACCGACGAAGCGCAAGUGACGGUAGGUGCAGAAGAAGGACCGGCCAACUACGUGCCAGCCGCCGCCGUAACAC
rnacentral:rRNA from 1 species